rnacentral:rRNA from 1 species
GUAGUUAGCCGGGGCUUCCUCACAGGGUACCGUCACUUCUUCGUCCCCUGCGACAGAGGUUUACAAUCCGAAAACCUUCUUCCCUCACGCGGCGUUGCUGGGUCAGGCUUGCGCCCAUUGCCCAAUAUUCCCCACUGCUGCCUCCCGUAGGAGUCUGGACCGUGUCUCAGUUCCAGUGUGGCCGAUCAGCCUCUCAGCUCGGCUACCCAUCGUCGGCUUGGUGGGCUGUUAUCUCACCAACUACCUAAUGGGACGCGAACCCCUCUUACAGCGAUAAAUCUUUGACCUCAUCCCGAUGCCGGGUCGUGGUCUCAUGCGGUAUUAGCACCUGUUUCCAAGUGUUAUCCCCCUNUGUAAGGCAGGUUGUUCACGCGUUACUCACCCGUUCGCCACUAGAAUUAUAAAUUCCAUCCGAAAACUUCCUUCAUAAUCCCCGUUCGACUUGCAUGUGUUAGGCACGCCGCCAGCGUUCGUCCUGAGCCACUAAUCAAACUACUGA